UUAAGCGACUAAGCGUACACGGUGGAUGCCCUGGCAGUCAGAGGCGAUGAAGGACGUGCUAAUCUGCGAUAAGCGUCGGUAAGGUGAUAUGAACCGUUAUAACCGGCGAUUUCCGAAUGGGGAAACCCAGUGUGWUUCGWCACACUAUCAUUAACUGAAUCCAUAGGUUAAUGAGGCGAACCGGGGGAACUGAAACAUCUAAGUACCCCGAGGAAAAGAAAUCAACCGAGAUUCCCCCAGUAGCGGCGAGCGAACGGGGAGSAGCCCAGAGCCUGAAUCAGUGUGUGUGUUAGUGGAAGCGUCUGGAAAGGCGCGCGAUACAGGGUGACAGCCCCGUACACAAAAAURCACAURYUGUGAGCUCGAUGAGUAGGGCGGGACACGUGGUAUCCUGUCUGAAUAUGGGGGGACCAUCCUCCAAGGCUAAAUACUCCUGACUGACCGAUAGUGAACCAGUACCGUGAGGGAAAGGCGAAAAGAACCCCGGCGAGGGGAGUGAAAAAGAACCUGAAACCGUGUACGUACAAGCAGUGGGAGCACGCUUAGGCGUGUGACUGCGUACCUUUUGUAUAAUGGGUCAGCGACUUAUAUUCUGUAGCAAGGUUAACCGAAUAGGGGAGCCGAAGGGAAACCGAGUCUUAACUGGGCGUUAAGUUGCAGGGUAUAGACCCGAAACCCGGUGAUCUAGCCAUGGGCAGGUUGAAGGUUGGGUAACACUAACUGGAGGACCGAACCGACUAAUGUUGAAAAAUUAGCGGAUGACUUGUGGCUGGGGGUGAAAGGCCAAUCAAACCGGGAGAUAGCUGGUUCUCCCCGAAAGCUAUUUAGGUAGCGCCUCGUGAAUUCAUCUCCGGGGGUAGAGCACUGUUUCGGCAAGGGGGUCAUCCCGACUUACCAACCCGAUGCAAACUGCGAAUACCGGAGAAUGUUAUCACGGGAGACACACGGCGGGUGCUAACGUCCGUCGUGAAGAGGGAAACAACCCAGACCGCCAGCUAAGGUCCCAAAGUCAUGGUUAAGUGGGAAACGAUGUGGGAAGGCCCAGACAGCCAGGAUGUUGGCUUAGAAGCAGCCAUCAUUUAAAGAAAGCGUAAUAGCUCACUGGUCGAGUCGGCCUGCGCGGAAGAUGUAACGGGGCUAAACCAUGCACCGAAGCUGCGGCAGCGACRCUUAUGCGUUGUUGGGUAGGGGAGCGUUCUGUAAGCCUGUGAAGGUGURCUGUGAGGYAUGCUGGAGGUAUCAGAAGUGCGAAUGCUGACAUAAGUAACGAUAAAGCGGGUGAAAAGCCCGCUCGCCGGAAGACCAAGGGUUCCUGUCCAACGUUAAUCGGGGCAGGGUGAGUCGACCCCUAAGGCGAGGCCGAAAGGCGUAGUCGAUGGGAAACAGGUUAAUAUUCCUGUACUUGGUGUUACUGCGAAGGGGGGACGGAGAAGGCUAUGUUGGCCGGGCGACGGUUGUCCCGGUUUAAGCGUGUAGGCUGGUUUUCCAGGCAAAUCCGGAAAAUCAAGGCUGAGGCGUGAUGACGAGGCACUACGGUGCUGAAGCAACAAAUGCCCUGCUUCCAGGAAAAGCCUCUAAGCAUCAGGUAACAUCAAAUCGUACCCCAAACCGACACAGGUGGUCAGGUAGAGAAUACCAAGGCGCUUGAGAGAACUCGGGUGAAGGAACUAGGCAAAAUGGUGCCGUAACUUCGGGAGAAGGCACGCUGAUAYGUAGGUGAAGUCCCUCGCGGAUGGAGCUGAAAUCAGUCGAAGAUACCAGCUGGCUGCAACUGUUUAUUAAAAACACAGCACUGUGCAAACACGAAAGUGGACGUAUACGGUGUGACGCCUGCCCGGUGCCGGAAGGUUAAUUGAUGGGGUCAGCGCAAGCGAAGCUCUUGAUCGAAGCCCCGGUAAACGGCGGCCGUAACUAUAACGGUCCUAAGGUAGCGAAAUUCCUUGUCGGGUAAGUUCCGACCUGCACGAAUGGCGUAAUGAUGGCCAGGCUGUCUCCACCCGAGACUCAGUGAAAUUGAACUCGCUGUGAAGAUGCAGUGUACCCGCGGCAAGACGGAAAGACCCCGUGAACCUUUACUAUAGCUUGACACUGAACAUUGAGCCUUGAUGUGUAGGAUAGGUGGGAGGCUUUGAAGUGUGGACGCCAGUCUGCAUGGAGCCGACCUUGAAAUACCACCCUUUAAUGUUUGAUGUUCUAACGUUGACCCGUGAUCCGGGUUGCGGACAGUGUCUGGUGGGUAGUUUGACUGGGGCGGUCUCCUCCUAAAGAGUAACGGAGGAGCACGAAGGUUGGCUAAUCCUGGUCGGACAUCAGGAGGUUAGUGCAAUGGCAUAAGCCAGCUUGACUGCGAGCGUGACGGCGCGAGCAGGUGCGAAAGCAGGUCAUAGUGAUCCGGUGGUUCUGAAUGGAAGGGCCAUCGCUCAACGGAUAAAAGGUACUCCGGGGAUAACAGGCUGAUACCGCCCAAGAGUUCAUAUCGACGGCGGUGUUUGGCACCUCGAUGUCGGCUCAUCACAUCCUGGGGCUGAAGUAGGUCCCAAGGGUAUGGCUGUUCGCCAUUUAAAGUGGUACGCGAGCUGGGUUUAGAACGUCGUGAGACAGUUCGGUCCCUAUCUGCCGUGGGCGCUGGAGAACUGAGGGGGGCUGCUCCUAGUACGAGAGGACCGGAGUGGACGCAUCACUGGUGUUCGGGUUGUCAUGCCAAUGGCACUGCCCGGUAGCUAAAUGCGGAAGAGAUAAGUGCUGAAAGCAUCUAAGCACGAAACUUGCCCCGAGAUGAGUUCUCCCUGACUCCUUGAGAGUCCUGAAGGAACGUUGAAGACGACGACGUUGAUAGGCCGGGUGUGUAAGCGCAGCGAUGCGUUGAGCUAACCGGUACUAAUGAACCGUGAGGCUUAACCUU
rnacentral:rRNA from 1 species